CCUACGGGUGGCAGCAGUAGGGAAUAUUGCUCAAUGCGGGAAACCCUGACGCAGCAACGCCGCGUGGAGGAUGAAGGUUUUCGGAUUGUAAACUCCUUUUGUUAGAGAAGAUAAUGACGGUAUCUAACGAAUAAGCACCGGCUAACUCCGUGCCAGCAGCCGCGGUAAUACGGAGGGUGCAAGCGUUACUCGGAAGCACUGGGCGUAAAGAGCGCGUAGGCGGGGUAGCAAGUCAGAUGUGAAAGCCUAGGGCUUAACCAUAGAACGGCAAGUGAAACUGUUAUACUAGAGUAUGGGAGAGGAAGGUAGAAUUCUUGGUGUAGGGGUAAAAUCCGUAGAGAUCAAGAGGAAUACUGUUAGCGAAGGCGACCAGCUAGAACAAAACUGACGCUGAUGCGCGAAAGCGUGGGUAGCAAACAGGAUUAGAUACCCGUGUAGUC
rnacentral:rRNA from 1 species